rnacentral:lncRNA from 1 species
GCCUUACGUCAUGUUGGGCACACAGUCAGCAGUCUUCAUUGAGCAAAAGAUUUGGAGUGAAAUCGCAUCUGUGUUAAAGAAUACAUGGGGAAGAGUAUAUGGCAAAACCUCCACUAUGGCUCUGCAUGGCACUGGAUGGAUUGUAAUGACAACAAGCUGGAGAAUGGGGUGGUAUUUCUGAGGGUAGAAUGUGAAUCCGUCAUAACUGGCUGCCUAUUGAUUGAGAGCAGUUUGGUCCAAUGGGCACAGGACAGUAAAAAGAAGGGGGAGUCCUGGCUUUUGUUUCCAGCCCUACUACUAACAGGCAAAGCUGACCUUGGAUAAAACUUUGUAACUCUUUCCUAGUUCUGCCUGCCCUGUUGAAUUCCCCUCAACACUGGUGAGUAAACAGUCUAUUUCAUCUGAAGUUCAUAGCCUAUAGGAGAGCAGUUACCCAAUAGAGAAUUCAAGGAGCAUGGCCUAAUUUGUCCUAGAAUUAUAUGGGGCAAGCGCUACCUAAAUAAAUGGCAUUUUUGUGCAACGUUUAAGUGUGUG